AACGCUAGCUACAGGCUUAACACAUGCAAGUCGAGGGGCAGCAUAAAAGUAACAAUACUUUGGUGGCGACCGGCGCACGGGUGAGUAACGCGUAUGCAACCUACCUAUCAGAGGGGGAUAACCCGGCGAAAGUCGGACUAAUACCGCAUAAAACAGGGGCACCGCAUGGUGAUAUUUGUUAAAAAUUUAUUGCUGAUAGAUGGGCAUGCGUUCCAUUAGGUAGUUGGAGAGGUAACGGCUCACCAAGCCCACGAUGGAUAGGGGAACUGAGAGGAAGGUCCCCCACAUUGGAACUGAGACACGGUCCAAACUCCUACGGGAGGCAGCAGUGAGGAAUAUUGGUCAAUGGGCGAGAGCCUGAACCAGCCAAGUAGCGUGCAGGAUGACGGCCCUAUGGGUUGUAAACUGCUUUUAUACAGGAAUAAAGUUAGCCACGUGUGGUUAUUUGUAGGUACUGUAUGAAUAAGGACCGGCUAAUUCCGUGCCAGCAGCCGCGGUAAUACGGAAGGUCCAGGCGUUAUCCGGAUUUAUUGGGUUUAAAGGGAGCGUAGGCCGUCUGUUAAGCGUGUUGUGAAAUGUAGAUGCUCAACAUCUGAAUUGCAGCGCGAACUGGCAGACUUGAGUGUGCGCAACGUAGGCGGAAUUCGUGGUGUAGCGGUGAAAUGCUUAGAUAUCACGAAGAACUCCGAUUG
rnacentral:rRNA from 1 species